UACGGAGGAUGCGAGCGUUAUCCGGACUUAUUGGGUUUAAAGGGUGCGUAGGCGGAUCGUUAAGUCAGUGGUCAAAUUGAGGGGCUCAACCCCUUCCCGCCAUUGAAACUGGCGCUCUUGAGUGGAAGAGAAGUAUGCGGAAUGCGUGGUGUAGCGGUGAAAUGCAUAGAUAUCACGCAGAACCCCGAUUGCGAAGGCAGCAUGCCGGCUUCCGACUGACGCUGAAGCACGAAAGCGUGGGGAUCGAACAGG
rnacentral:rRNA from 1 species